GAUGAACGCUAGCGGCAGGCUUAAUACAUGCAAGUCGAGGGGCAUCAAGGUACACGAAAGUGUAUUGUUGGCGACCGGCGGACGGGUGAGUAAUAGGUAGGUAACCUACCUCAUACUGAGGCAUAGCUGGGAGAAAUUCCAGGUAAUUCCUCAUGAGGUUAUAUGACACAUGUGAUAUAAUCAAAGGUAUCGCAAGGUACUGGUAUGAGAUGGGCUUACUGACCAUUAGCUAGUUGGUGAGAUAAGAGCUCACCAAGGCGAAGAUGGUUAGGGGUUUGAGAGAGAGAUCCCCCACAUUGGAACUGAGAUACGGUCCAGACUCCUACGGGAGGCAGCAGUAGGGAAUAUUGGGCAAGUGGGCGGAAGCCUGACCCAGCCAUGCCGCGUGAAGGAAGACGGCCUUAGUGGGUUGUAAACUUUCUUUACUAUGCGACUAACUAGAUUUACGAGAUAAUUCUAUAGAAUGUAGCAUAGACAAAAGCACCGGA
rnacentral:rRNA from 1 species